rnacentral:rRNA from 1 species
UACAGAGGGUGCUAACGUUGUUCGGAAUCACUGGGCAUAAAGCGCACGUAGGCGGCUUGGUAAGUGCGGUGUGAAAGCCCCCGGCCUAACCGGGGAACUGCAUCGCAGACUGCCAGGCUCGAGAGCGGGAGGGGAGACUGGAACUCCUGGUGGAGCGGUGAAAUGCGUAGAUAUCAGGAGGAACACCGGUGGUGAAAACGAGUCUCUGGUCCGCUUCUGACGCUCAUGUGCGAAAGCUAGGGGAGCGAACGGG